UUAAAUUGAAGAGUUUGAUCAUGGCUCAGAUUGAACGCUGGCGGCAGGCCUAACACAUGCAAGUCGAACGGUAACAGGAAGCAGCUUGCUGCUUCGCUGACGAGUGGCGGACGGGUGAGUAAUGGCUGGG
rnacentral:rRNA from 1 species